rnacentral:rRNA from 1 species
GGGCCCGCACAAGCAGCGGAGCGUGUUGCUUAAUUCGAUGCAACGCGAAGAACCUUACCAGGGUUUGACAUCCUGCGAAUCUCUUGGAAACAGGAGAGUGCCUUCGGAACGCAGUGACAGGUGGUGCAUGGCUGUCGUCAGCUCGUGUCGUGCAGAUGUUGGUUAAGUCCCGCAACGAUGCGCAACCCACGUCUUUAGUUGCCAGCAUUUAGUUGGGCACUCUAGAGAGACUGCCGGUGAUAAACCGGAGGAAGGUGUGGAUGACGUCAAGUCAUCAUGCCCCUUACAUCCUGGGCUACACACGUACUACAAUGCUACGGACAAAGGGCAGCAAGUUCGCGAGGACAAG